AAGUCAUGUUGAGGACAAUUUCUUAUAAGGGCCUUGUACCUCUCCCAAGCUUCGUAUAAUGACUCUCCCAUUUCUUGUUGAAAUUUGGCUAUCUUCUUCUUGAGUUU